ensembl:lncRNA
AAAUAACAUGUUUCCUCUUCGCAAAUCCCAUUUAAGUGAAAAUCACGCGUUUUCUCUUCGCAAAUCCCCCAUUUAAGCGAAAAUCACGCGUUUUCUCUUCGCAAAUCCCCCAUUUAACCGAAAAUCACGCGUUUUCUCUUCGAGAAUCCCCCAUUUAAGCCAAAAUCACGCGUUUUCUCUUCGAGAAUCCCCCAUUUAACCCGAAAAUCACGCGUUUCUUUCAAAUCCCCAUUUAAGUGAAAAUCACGCGUUUCUCUUCGCAAAUCCCCCAUUUAAGCGAAAAUCACGCAUUUUCAUCUUCGAGAAUCCCCCAUUUAAGCAAAAAUCACGCGUUUUCGCAAAUCCCCCAUUUAAGCGAAAAUCACGCGUUUUCUCUUCGCAAAUCCCCCAUUUAAGCGAAAAUCACGCAUUUUCAUCUUCGAGAAUCCCCCAUUUAAGCGAAAAUCACGCGUUUCCUCUUCGCAAAUCCCCCAUUUAAGCGAAAAUCACGCGUUUUCCUUCGAGAACCCCCAAUUUAAGUGAAAAUCACGCGUUUUCUCUUCGCAAAUCCCCCAUUUAAGCGAAAAUGACGCGUUUUCUCUUCCAGAAUCCCCAAUUUAACCCAAAAAUCACGCGUUUUCUCUUUGCAAAUCCCCCAUUUAAGCGAAAAUCACGCGUUUUCUCUUUGCAAAUCCCCCAUUUAAGCGAAAAUCACGCGUUUUCUCUUCGCAAAUCCCCCAUUUAAGCGAAAAUCACGCGUUUUCUCUUCGCAAAUCCCCCAUUUAAGCGAAAAUCACGCAUUUUCUCUUCGGAAAUCCCCCAUUUAAGCGAAAAUCACGCGUUUUCUCUUCGAGAAUCCCCCAUUUAACCAAAAAUCACACGUUUUCUCUUCGAAAAUCCCACAUUUAAGAGAAAAUCACGCGUUUUCAUCUUCGAGAAUCCCCCAUUUAAGCGAAAAUCACGCGUUUUCUCUUCGAGAAUCCCCCAUUUACCCAAAAAUCACGCGUUUUCUCUUCGGAAAUCCCCCAUUUAAGCGAAAAUCACGCGUUUUCAUCUUCGGAAAUCCCCCAUUUAAGCGAAAAUCACGCGUUUUCUCUUCCAAAUCCCCAUUUAAGCGAAAAUCACGCGUUUUCUCUUCGAGAAUCCCGCAUUUAAGCAAAAUCACC